AUUGAACGCUGGCGGCAGGCCUAACACAUGCAAGUCGAACGAGUGGCGGACGGGUGAGUAAUGUCUGGGACACUGCCUGAUGGAGGGGGAUCUCUACUGAACACGGUAGCUAAUACCGCAUACCAUCAGAUGCCCCCAGAUGGGUGUAGCUUGUUGGUGGGGGAAGGGCGCACCAGGGGGACGAUCCCUCGCUGGUCUGAGAGGAUGACCAGCCACACGGGAACGGAGAAACGGUCCAGACGCCUACGGGAGGCAGCAGUGGGGAAGAGUGCACAAUGGGCGAAAGCCUGAUGCAGCCAUGCCGCGUGUAUGAAGAAGGCCUUCGGGUUGUAAAGUACUUUCAGCGGGGAGGCGUUACCCGCAGAAGAAGCACCGGCUAACUCCGUGCCAGCAGCCGCGGUAAUAC
rnacentral:rRNA from 1 species